CCAGACUCCUACGGGAGGCAGCAGUAGGGAAUCUUCCGCAAUGGGCGAAAGCCUGACGGAGCAACGCCGCGUGAGUGAAGAAGGAUUUCGGUUCGUAAAGCUCUGUUGUUAGGGAAGAAUGGAUAUGUAGUAACUAUACAUAUAAGAGACGGUACCUAACCAGAAAGCCACGGCUAACUACGUGCCAGCAGCCGCGGUAAUACGUAGGUGGCAAGCGUUGUCCGGAAUUAUUGGGCGUAAAGCGCGCGCAGGUGGUUUAAUAAGUCUGAUGUGAAAGCCCACGGCUCAACCGUGGAGGGUCAUUGGAAACUGUUAAACUUGAGUGCAGGAGAGAAAAGUGGAAUUCCUAGUGUAGCGGUGAAAUGCGUAGAGAUUAGGAGGAACACCAGUGGCGAAGGCGGCUUUUUGGCCUGUAACUGACACUGAGGCGCGAAAGCGUGGGGAGCAAACAGGAUUAGAUACCCUGGUAGUCCACGCCGUAAACGAUGAGUGCUAAGUGUUGGUCUCAUAAGAGAUCAGUGCUGCAGCUAACGCAUUAAGCACUCCGCCUGGGGAGUACGACCGCAAGGUUGAAACUCAAAGGAAUUGACGGGGGCCCGCACAAG
rnacentral:rRNA from 1 species